UUUCUUGAGCGAAACAGCAUACCAAGCUUAAGAAAAAUGAAAUAGGGAAGUCUGUUGCUGCUAAAUCGCGCUAUCAGUACACGCUUUGCCAAAUGUGCAAAUAUUUGGCUAGGCAUAAAUCAACAGAUAAACAUCGGUUUCAACAGACAAAAUCUAAGAAAUUUCAAGCCUUUGCUUGGCUCUGCAUCAACCCAUGACAAAUAUUUGUCAUCUUACCCUGCAGUUAAGCCGGAGACGAAUAGAGACAUAGUAGUCGGGUUCAGAAUGGUACUGUAUUUGAUCCCUUGGUACUACAAAAGGUACCCAAGUUUGACAGAACGCAGUACAUUUUUUACGGCAUUGUAGAUUUUGCUCUACUAUCUUAUGUGUCAAUAAUAUGGAGGUCUUUCCCGCAUAGAAAAAUACAAUUCACCGCACAUUCCGAACAGUUCCGCGAGUUUGUUCGGUUUCCACGUUCCAGAGGACUUGCCAAGCGGUAUCGCUGCCUACUUCCAAUGCCGCGCUGUUUCACGGAUAUACGAAACCUUAAUCAAAUCAAAGGCCGGAAAAGGAUAGUAGCGUCGUCAAAUCAUCGUCCCACUGCUCUCAGUUUCUCGAGAACCGGACCAAUUUCGACUCGGAAGUUGCUAGCAAGCACCACCAGCCAAGGAAGCCAACCCUUCUUAAAUUCGUCCUGUGGAAGCGGAAACUACAAGCAACGUAUUUUGGACAAAAAAGCUGUGAUUCUCGUUAUUUACUUUUAAUUUUAAUAAUUCCUGAUAUUUUAUUGCAGGCAUAGUUCGAUUAUAUUUCAUUUACAUAUAAAAAAAUUAUAAAACAAUUUGUUUCAAAUAUUUACAGUGAAAAAAAAUGUAAUAAAAAAAACAUUUAUCACCAAAUUCGAAUUUUCUUUAUCUUAAUGUAUAAACGUAUCAGUACAGUAUAGAAUAUUGUUAAACUACCGUAACUUACC